GACGAACCGUGCGAACGUUAUUCGGAAUCACUGGGCUUAAAGCGCGUGUAGGCGGGCCGCCGCGUCGGCUGCUGAAAUCCCCCGGCUCAACCGGGGAACGGGCACCGAUACGGGCGGCCUCGAGGGGGGUAGGGGGGACUGGAACUUCCGGUGGAGCGGUGAAAUGCGUUGAGAUCGGAAGGAACGCCCGUGGCGAAAGCGAUCGUCCCUGGACCCUUCUGACGCUGAGACGCGAAAGCCAGGGGAGCGAACGGG
rnacentral:rRNA from 1 species